UUUCGUAGGGGUGAAUGCGGAGGGAUCAUUGGUGGAACGCGCUUUGGCGCACCCAGAAACCCUUUGUGAACUUAUACUUAUUGUUGCGUCGGCGCAGGCCGGCCUCUUCACUGAGGCCCCCUGGAGACAGGGAGCAGCCCGCCGGCGGCCAACCAAACUCUUGUUUCUACAGUGGAUCUCUGAGUAAAAAACAUAAAUGAAUCAAAACUUUCAACAACGGAUCUCUUGGUUCUGGCAUCGAUGAAGAACGCAGCGAAAUGCGAUAAGUAAUGUGAAUUGCAGAAUUCAGUGAAUCAUCGAAUCUUUGAACGCACAUUGCGCCCUCUGGUAUUCCGGAGGGCAUGCCUGUUCGAGCGUCAUUUCAACCCUCAAGCCUGGCUUGGUGAUGGGGCACUGCUCUCUGACGAGAGCAGGCCCUGAAAUCUAGUGGCGAGCUCGCUAGGACCCCGAGCGUAGUAGUUAUAUCUCGUUCUGGAAGGCCCUGGCGGUGCCCUGCCGUUAAACCCCCAACUUCUGAAAAUUUGACCUCGGAUCAGGUAGGAAUACCCGCUGAACUUAAGCAUAUCAAAAAGCGAGGAA
rnacentral:rRNA from 1 species